rnacentral:rRNA from 1 species
GAUGAACGCUGGCGGCGUGCCUAAUACAUGCAAGUCGAGCGAACAGACGAGGAGCUUGCUCCUCUGACGUUAGCGGCGGACGGGUGAGUAACACGUGGAUAACCUACCUAUAAGACUGGGAUAACUUCGGGAAACCGGAGCAAAUACCGGAUAAUAUAUUGAACCGCAUGGUUCAAUAGUGAAAGACGGUUUUGCUGUCACUUAUAGAUGGAUCCGCGCCGCAUUAGCUAGUUGGUAAGGUAACGGCUUACCAAGGCAACGAUGCGUAGCCGACCUGAGAGGGUGGUCGGCCACACUGGAACUGAGACACGGUCCAGACUCCUGCGGGAGGCAGCAGUAGGGAAUCUUCCGCAAUGGGCGAAAGCCUGACGGAGCAACGCCGCGUGAGUGAUGAAGGUCUUCGGAUCGUAAAACUCUGUUAUUAGGGAAGAACAAAUGUGUAAGUAACUAUGCACGUCUUGACGGUACCUAAUCAGAAAGCCACGGCUAACUACGUG